CCUACGGGGGGCAGCAGUGGGGAAUCUUGCGCAAUGGGCGAAAGCCUGACGCAGCGACGCCGCGUGAGUGAUGAAGGCCUUCGGGUUGUAAAGCUCUGUGGGGAGAGAAGAAUAAGUCGUAGUGAAUAUCUACGAUGAUGACGGUAUCUCCUUAGCAAGCACCGGCUAACUCUGUGCCAGCAGCCGCGGUAAGACAGAGGGUGCAAACGUUGUUCGGAAUUACUGGGCGUAAAGCGUGUGUAGGCGGUGAGGUAAGUCAGGUGUGAAAUCCCACGGCUCAACCAUGGAAGUGCACUUGAUACUGCUUCGCUUGAGUACUGGAGAGGUUGGUGGAAUUCUUGGUGUAGAGGUGAAAUUCGUAGAUAUCAAGAGGAACACCGGUGGCGAAGGCGGCCAACUGGACAGAUACUGACGCUGAGACACGAAAGCGUGGGGAGCAAACAGGAUUAGAUACCCCAGUAGUC
rnacentral:rRNA from 1 species